AGCGAACGCUGGCGGCAGGCCUAACACAUGCAAGUCGAACGAACUCUUCGGAGUUAGUGGCGGACGGGUGAGUAACACGUGGGAACGUGCCUUUUGGUUCGGAAUAACUCAGGGAAACUUGUGCUAAUACCGAAUGUGCCCUUCGGGGGAAAGAUUUAUCGCCAUUAGAGCGGCCCGCGUCUGAUUAGCUUGUUGGUGAGGUAACGGCUCACCAAGGCGACGAUCAGUAGCUGGUCUGAGAGGAUGACCAGCCACACUGGGACUGAGACGCGGCCCAGACUCCUACGGGAUGCAGCAGUGGGGGAUCUUGCGAAAUGGGCGGAAUCCUGACGCAGCCAUGCCGCGUGAAUGAUGAAGUUCUUAAGGUAGUAAAGUUCUUUCACCGGGGACGAUAAUGACGGUACCCGAAGAAGAAGCCCCGGCUAACUUCGUG
rnacentral:rRNA from 1 species